rnacentral:tRNA from 1 species
GCCUCGGUGGCCAAGCGGCUAAGGCGUUUCCCUCGUAAGGAAGAGAUCGCGGGUUCAAAUCCCGCCCGGGGCUCCA